rnacentral:SRP_RNA from 1 species
UGUCAGGCCCCGUGCAAUAACUCGCCGACAAAUUCCGCCAGGACCGGAAGGUAGCAACGGCAGUCAGGAUGGUUGUGUGCCGCGGGUGCCCUGAUGUCU